GACGAACGCUGGCGGCGUGCCUAAUACAUGCAAGUUGAGCGCUGAAGGUUGGUACUUGUACCAACUGGAUGAGCAGCGAACGGGUGAGUAACGCGUGGGGAAUCUGCCUUUGAGCGGGGGACAACAUUUGGAAACGAAUGCUAAUACCGCAUAAAAACUUUAAACACAAGUUUUAAGUUUGAAAGAUGCAAUUGCAUCACUCAAAGAUGAUCCCGCGUUGUAUUAGCUAGUUGGUGAGGUAAAGGCUCACCAAGGCGAUGAUACAUAGCCGACCUGAGAGGGGGGUCGGCCACAUUGGGACUGGGACACGGCCCAAACUCCUACGGGAGGCAGCAGUAGGGAAUCUUCGGCCAUGGACGAAAGUCUGACCGAGCAACGCCGCGGGAGGGAAGAAGGGUUUCGGAUCGUAAAACUCUGUUGGUAGAGAAGAACGUUGGUGAGAGUGGAAAGCUCAUCAAGUGACGGUAACUACCCAGAAAGGGACGGCUAACUACGUG
rnacentral:rRNA from 1 species